rnacentral:rRNA from 1 species
AUUGAACGCUGGCGGCAGGCCUAACACAUGCAAGUCGAACGGUAACAGGAAGAAGCUUGCUUCUUUGCUGACGAGUGGCGGACGGGUGAGUAAUGUCUGGGAAACUGCCUGAUGGAGGGGGAUAACUACUGGAAACGGUAGCUAAUACCGCAUAACGUCGCAAGACCAAAGAGGGGGACCUUCGGGCCUCUUGCCAUCGGAUGUGCCCAGAUGGGAUUAGCUAGUAGGUGGGGUAACGGCUCACCUAGGCGACGAUCCCUAGCUGGUCUGAGAGGAUGACCAGCCACACUGGAACUGAGACACGGUCCAGACCCCUACGGGAGGCAGCAGUGGGGAAUAUUGCACAAUGGGCGCAAGCCUGAUGCAGCCAUGCCGCGUGUAUGAAGAAGGCCUUCGGGUUGUAAAGUACUUUCAGCGGGGAGGAAGGGAGUAAAGUUAAUACCUUUGCUCAUUGACGUUACCCGCAGAAGAAGCACCGGCUAACUCCGU